rnacentral:lncRNA from 1 species
CCCCGCGCCCGCGGAGCCCCGGCUCCCGCCUGCCCAGCCCCCUCCCGGGGAGCGAGCCGGGACCCAGGGGUGGGAGCAGAGUCGGGGCUUUGUGGCGCCGGGGGCCGAGGAAGAAUGAAACGUGCAGUUGGGAGUGUUGCUCGCGUCCCAGGGAGCAGCGCAGGCCCGAUUGUCUGCCGCCGAGAUGGCCUUUUGUUCGGAGCAUAAGGUUUAAGAAACACACACACGUUUUCUGGGGUCUCUUGUUGGAUGUAAAUGUGCCGCAUCCAGACGCUCGCGGNNNNNNNNNNNNNNNNNNNNNNNNNCGCCCCGCCCCGCCCCGCCCCGCCCCGGCGACCGGGACCGUUGGGACGCGGACCUCACCCAGACUUCUGGGCCGCCGGCACUGCCUUCGCCCCGUUUCACUCCAGACUAGCCAAGCAUCCCACGGAGAUGAUAAAGCAAACAAUAACAUCUGAUCAUGACGUCCACGAGAUAAUGUGCCCGGCAAAGUUCUUUAGGAAUCGGGAUGAGCGGGAGGGUGAGGGAGUGAUCGUUUCCCUUCGUUUUCCUUAAACGUGACUUUAAGAGAUAAAUGGUGAAGUUUAUACCUUGGCCUGCUGGACAGCCGGUCCGCCCCAUGGCACGAAGCUCGGCAUCAAAGGGCCAAAUUAGACAUUCGACCGGGAGCCCUCGAAGCUGAGGAUGUUACCUUUGAAGAACAGAAACAAUGAAAAUACAGAGGAAUUGCAUUUGGAUACUUCUUCCUGUCAAUCAUCUUUGCCAGAUUCCUAUUUGAACAUCCUGAAAAUGAGGAAGACAUCAGAUCUCGCCUUAAGGAAGUCUGAUACCCAGGAGAUGAUCCGAGUUUCAACUCUCUGUGGUGAAAAGAGGGUGAAGAGCAGCAGAAAAUCCAAUUCUCUUGACCUUCAGGACAUGGAGCAGAACUCAUCGCUUCCACCUGGCCUACCCAAGAGCCUCCUCCAGCUUUCAGAGAUUGCACGAAUUUUUACCUGAUUUUGACAGAACCGGGGAUCAAGGCGGCCCCAGGCUGCAAGUGCAGAAUUUCUGCCGUGGAAACCCUGGCAUGGAGGUGUCGCGUGUUGGGAGCCCUUCACAGCGC